UUUUUUUUUUUAAACUGUAUAGUUUGUCUUGUAGCUUUCUGAGACGGUGUGUGCAGUUGUGAUUAGACUUGCUCAGUAAAAUAAUUAGGUUGCACACUACGGGAUGUUUGUAUCACUUAAUUUGCAUUGUUUUUAUAAAUUGAGCUAACUGCGGCCAGUCUGCCGGACAAUGUACUUGCAAGAAUGAACAGCAAAUUUUGGUGGAUCUUCAAAGUGAGUGUAUCCAAUUUUUAUUUUGCAUAUUUAAUGUAUUAUCUAUCAGUCGGUAAUACCCGUUUAAUAGUAAUGAUAAAAAAAAUCUGUACUGUAUUUUUCACAGUUGAAGCAGACUAUCUGGCGUCUUACGUAGCUAUAGGGAUUGAUCUCCUGUCAAGCAUCAGUGUGCUUUACUCUAAAAUUUGUAAUAUGUUGGGUAUGUUGUUCUGGAAAGAAAUAUUUAAAUUUAUGCAGCUGAUUGUCAAAUACAUUUUAUAUAUUUAUGUGUGCUUGAAUUUUACUGUUUGUUUGAAAAUAUAUAUUCUAUGUACAACAUUGUUUUGUCUUUAUGUUCUGUACUAGCUGUGCUUUAUGAAUUUUUAAAAUAAAGUUUACAAAUGAUUUUCUAUAGC